rnacentral:RNase_P_RNA from 1 species
GGAUAGAUGAUCGCAGGGGGGUCGCCCCCCUGAGGAAAGUCCGGGCUCCAGAGGACAAUGGCGCCGGUUAACGGCCGGUAGCGGUAACGCUCAAGAUAGCGCCACAGAAAACAAACCGCCCGCAAGGGUAAGGGUGAAAAGGUGGGGUAAGAGCCCACCGCGUGGCUGGUGACAGCCAUGGCAGGGCAAGCCUCGCCAGGAGCAAGACCAAGUAGUAGUCUGGGUGGUCCGCCUAUAGGCUACGGGUAGGUCGCUUGAAACCACGGGUAACCGUGGUUCUGGAUAGAUGAUCAUUGAUACAGAACCCGGCUUAUUGCCUA